rnacentral:lncRNA from 9 species
ACGGCUUCCAAUCGCCAAGCUGCUGGGACGGGGGCUCCGGGGCCAAGAUUCCGAGCCUGGGCUAAGGAUGGGAGGCGGUCCGCUGGCACCGGGUUGGCGGGAACCUGAUCCGGAGAAGGAACGUGCGUGAGAGCGAGCGCAGGCGACUGACAGAGGAACCGACAGCAGACGGAGGGAGAGUUCUCCCUAGGACCAGACCGGAGGCGUGACUGCUGAAUCCACUUUCUCCCCACACACAACGUCCAGUGAUGUGCACCCAGCAAGCGCCCGUGGGAUCCUUCUGAACGGAAGAAAUUCUGCUCUCUGUCAGCCUGUGCUGUUAGGUGUCCCCAGGAAACCCACGCGUCUUCUGCGGACAGACCUGGCUCGAGAACAGGUACGUUUAUUGGAUUCCGAACUUGUGGUCGCAUCAGGGAGCGCGGCAGCUCACCUGACCCUGCCAGGCUUGUCUCCCAGCCGGAGGGUCGAAGGAAGGGCUUUUCCUCCUGAAGGUCAAAGGUCUAAAUUCAGACAGUCAUUUGGGGUGUGUUUAGCAAGGGUAACGUGGCAUUCCACGUUUAUUGACCCUUUACCAGGUAUCAGGCAGUAUUCUCCAUGUGUCUCUCUAUCCCCUGAUCUAAUCCCCUCUCACAGACCCCUCGUUUUGCAAGGUUUCCGUGCUCAUUGCCAAGGCGAGAAAGUGGAAUACGGAGAGGUUGGGGGACCCGCUCUGAGUCACACAGGCCAUCAGAGGAGGAGGGACACCCAGACGUAUGCAUCCAGGACUCAGAGCCCACACACUUGACUUUUGAAGUUAAAGUUGACAUGGGGUACUAUAUUCCUUUUAGGUGCACAGAAAGGUGCACAGUGUGUUUAUACAUUAUGAAAUGAGGACCACGAUGAGUAUGGCCACCAUCUGUCACCAUGCAGACUUAUCACAAUAUUGUGGACUCUCUCUCCCGCAUUGUAUGUUCCGUUCCCCUGAUUUAUGUAGUUUAUGACUGGAAGUCUGUAUCUCUUAACCCCCUUCCCCUCUGGCAGCCACCGGUUAGUUAGAUAUGGAAGUACCUCUGACUCUGUUUCCGCUUUGUUCUCUGUGUUCGCUUGAUUUAUUUUUGAGGUUCCAUAUGGAAGUGUAAUCAUGUGCUAUAUGGCUUUCCUCCCUGUCUGACUUAUUUCCCUUAGCAUAAUGCCCUCUAGGUCCUUCCGUGUUGCUGCGAAUGGCAUGAUGUCAUUCUUUUUUUACGGCUGAGGAACAUUCCAUCAUGUAUAUGUACACACACGCACGAACGCACAACACUUUUUUGUCCAUUCAUCCAUCAGUAGGCACUUAGGUUGCUGCUAUAUCUUGGCUCUUGUGAAUAAUGCUGCAGUGAACAGAGGAGUACAUAUAUCUUUUCUGAUUUCUUAUUUGUUGUUGUUGUUUUGUUUUGUUUUCUUUAGAUAAACACCAAGAAGCAGAACUGCUGGAUCAUAUGGUAGUUCUAGUUUUUCUCUGUCGAGGAAACCCCAUACUAUUCUCUACAGUGUCUACACCAAUUUAUAUUCCCACCAACAGUGCAUGACGGCUCCCUUUUUUUCCUCAUCCUCGCCAAGAUUUCCCCUUCGUUGUCUGCUUCAAUAAUAGCCAGUUAAUAGGCAGGAGGAAAUAUCUCGUUGUGGUCUUGACUUUUCUUUUCCCUGAUGAUUAGUGGUGUUGUGCAUCUUUUAAUGGGCCUGUUGGCCAUCAGUAGAUCUUCUUUGGAAAAAUGUCUAUCAGGGUUUGGGCCCAUUUUUGGUCUGUUUUUUGUUUUGUUUUGUUUCGGCCUUUGCUAGGGCCACUCCCACAACAUAUGGAGGUUCCCAGGCUAGGGGUCGAAUCGGAGCUGUGGCCGCCGGCCUACGCCACAGCCACAGCAACGUGGGAUCCGAGCCUCGUCUGCCACCUACAGCACAGCUCAUGGCAACGCCGGGUCCUGAACCCACUGAGCAAGGCCGGGGAUUGAACCCGCAACCUCGUGGUUCCUAGUCAGAUUCGGUAACCGCUGAGCUACGACGGGAACUCCCCUUUUUGUAUUUUUUUUUUCUUUUUAUAUAGAGUUCUAUGAGUCUUUAUAAAUUUUGAAUAUCUGUCUCUUUCUAGAUAUAUCCUUUGCAAAUAUCUCCUCCCUUUCAGCAGGAUGCCUUUCUGUUCUGUUGAUGGUUUCCCUGGCUGGGUAAAAGCAUUUUAGUUUCACGUGGUCCCAUUUGCUUAUCUGCUUCUGUUGCCCUUGCCUGAGGAGACCCAUCCCAAAAAUAUAUCGCAGAGACCUACGUCAAAGAACAUAAGGGCUCUGAGUUCCCCUAGGGGUUUUUUUCAUUUCAAGUCCUACAUUAGUCUUUAAUCCAUUUUUGGUUGACUUUUGCAUAUUGUGUAAGGAAGUGGUCCAGUUUUCCCAGCACCAUGUGUUGAAGAGAUUGCCGUUUCCCUGUUGUAUGUUCUUGGCUCUGUUGUCAUCCAUUAAUAGGCCAUGCAGGUGUGAGUUUGUUUCUGUCACAGCCCACACUCUUGACCAUCACCGAGCAAGCAUACCCGCCCUUAAGGCUGGAGUGAAGUGGGAGGAGCCGGUGACUGCAGUGUACCUACCCAGCUGGCGGCACCCCAUCCGGGGGUGACCAUCCCCACCCGGCACAAGUUCACCAGGGUGGUGAUGUGAUGGGUUCGCUCCAGCAGCCAACCCAGAUCAGUCCUGCCAACCACAGUCAGUCGUUUAGCCAAUCAUGAAGGUUUUCACUGUGUCCCUUCCAUGCCCACUCCGUGCCAGGCUGGCUGGCUGGUGAGCAGGAGUUGCAGAGCCAGUCACCGCCAUCAGGAGCCGAGUCUUUAAUCAGACAGAGAGCUAACCCCCACCUAUGUCGUGGAUUCUGGGCCGCAAUCUGAGCCACGGGCACCCAGAGGCCAGAAAAUAGUGACGGGGAGUCGGCUUAGGGUGUGAUGGCCAAAUAGCAAAUCUGAAUGUACCUAUAGCAAGUAAAGGUAUUAAAUCAUUAAGUGGAAAACCUUCCGACAAAGGGAAGUCCUGGGUCCGCUUACUUCAUUGCUGAAGUCUAUCAAAUGUUUAUGGAAGAAACAAUGCCCAUGUGUCACAGACUCAUCCUGAAUAUAAAGGACAAGGGACUAUUUCCUGCCGAACUCAUCCUAUGGGGACAGUUUUACCCUGCCACCAACACCACAAGCAACCUUUAGACUGCUAUCUAUCAGUAAUAGCAAUACACGGAUCAUCAACCAAAUAUCAGCAAAUCAGGGAGUUCCCAUUGUAGUUCAGUGGGUUACAAACCCGACUAGCAUCCAUGAUGCGGGUUCGAUCCCUGGCCUCGCUCAGUGGGUUAAAGGAUCCAGCAUUGCCGUGAGCUGUGGUGUAGGUCCCAGACUUGGCUCAGAUCUGGCGUGGCUGUGAGCUGUGGCAUAGGCCGGCAGCGGUAGCUCCGAUUUGACCCCUAGCUUGGGAACUUCCAUAUGUCCCAGGUGCAGCCCU